GCGUGCUUAACACAUGCAAGUCGAACGGAAAGGCCCUGCUUUUGUGGGGUGCUCGAGUGGCGAACGGGUGAGUAACACGUGAGUAACCUGCCCUUGACUUUGGGAUAACUUCAGGAAACUGGGGCUAAUACCGGAUAGGAGCUCCUGCUGCAUGGUGGGGGUUGGAAAGUUUCGGCGGUUGGGGAUGGACUCGCGGCUUAUCAGCUUGUUGGUGGGGUAGUGGCUUACCAAGGCUUUGACGGGUAGCCGGCCUGAGAGGGUGACCGGCCACAUUGGGACUGAGAUACGGCCCAGACUCCUACGGGAGGUAGCAGUGGGGAAUAUUGCACAAUGGGCGGAAGCCUGAUGCAGCAACACCGCGUGCGGGAUGACGGCCUUCGGGUUGUAAACCGCUUUCGCCUGUGACGAAGCGUGAGUGACGGUAAUGGGUAAAGAAGCACCGGCUAACUACGUGCCAGCAGCCGCGGUGAUACGUAGGGUGCGAGCGUUGUCCGGAUUUAUUGGGCGUAAAGGGCUCGUAGGUGGUUGAUCGCGUCGGAAGUGUAAUCUUGGGGCUUAACCCUGAGCGUGCUUUCGAUACGGGUUGACUUGAGGAAGGUAGGGGAGAAUGGAAUUCCUGGUGGAGCGGUGGAAUGCGCAGAUAUCAGGAGGAACACCAGUGGCGAAGGCGGUUCUCUGGGCCUUUCCUGACGCUGAGGAGCGAAAGCGUGGGGAGCGAACAGGCUUAGAUACCCUGGUAGUCCACGCUGUAAACGGUGGGUACUAGGUGUGGGGUCCAUUCCACGGGUUCCGUGCCGUAGCUAACGCUUUAAGUACCCCGCCUGGGGAGUACGGCCGCAAGGCUAAAACUCAAAGGAAUUGACGGGGCCCCGCACAAGCGGCGGAGCAUGCGGAUUAAUUCGAUGCAACGCGUAGAACCUUACCUGGGUUUGACAUGGAUCGGGAGUGCUCAGAGAUGGGUGUGCCUCUUUUGGGGUCGGUUCACAGGUGGUGCAUGGCUGUCGUCAGCUCGUGUCGUGAGAUGUUGGGUUAAGUCCCGCAACGAGCGCAACCCUUGUUCACUGUUGCCAGCACGUUAUGGUGGGGACUCAGUGGAGACCGCCGGGGUCAACUCGGAGGAAGGUGGGGAUGACGUCAAGUCAUCAUGCCCCUUAUGUCCAGGGCUUCACGCAUGCUACAAUGGCUGGUACAGAGAGUGGCGAGCCUGUGAGGGUGAGCGAAUCUCGGAAAGCCGGUCUCAGUUCGGAUUGGGGUCUGCAACUCGACCUCAUGAAGUCGGAGUCGCUAGUAAUCGCAGAUCAGCAACGCUGCGGUGAAUACGUUCCCGGGGCUUGUACACACCGCCCGUCAAGUCAUGAAAGUUGGUAACACCCGAAGCCGGUGGCCUAACCGUUGUGGGGGAGCCGUCGAAGGUGGGACUGGUGAUUAGGACUAA
rnacentral:rRNA from 1 species